rnacentral:tRNA from 1 species
ACCCGGGUGGGGCGGUUGUUCGCGUCCCAUUCCCAGCGACUUACGGCGCCUGACGGAGUCCGGCGUUCCACCCGCCGGCCGAGUA